AAAUCAUGAUGGGGGCAUCUUCUAAGGAGGUCUUUAAAUCUUUCAUAGGCUUCAAAUAAUGUCUUGGGCUCCCUUUGUUUAAAUGCCGAAAUUUCAUGCCUCAAUUU